AUACGCGAGAAACCUUACCAGGCCUUGACAUCCUAGGAAUCCUGUAGAGAUACGGGAGUGCCUUCGGGAAUCUAGUGACAGGUGUUGCAUGGCUGUCG
rnacentral:rRNA from 1 species